rnacentral:rRNA from 1 species
AGGGAAUAUUAGUAAUGGGCGAAAGCCUGAACUAGCAACGCCGCGUGUGCGAAGAAGGCCUUCGGGUUGUAAAGCACUUUUUGAGAGGAUGAGGAAGGACGGUACUCUCAGAAUAAGUCUCGGCUAACUACGUGCCAGCAGCCGCGGUAACACGUAGGAGGCAAACGUUAUCCGGAUUUACUGGGCGUAAAGCGCGUGUAGGUGGUUUGGUAAGUAGGGCGUGAAAGCUCCUGGCUCAACUGGGAGAGGCCGUUCUAAACUGCCGAACUAGAGGGUGGUAGAGGGAGGUGGAAUUCCGGGUGUAGCGGUGGAAUGCGCAGAUAUCUGGAGGAACACCAGUGGCGAAAGCGGCCUCCUGGACCAUUCCUGACACUCAGACGCGAAAGCUAGGGUAGCAAACGG